GAAAAAGCCCUGUUCAUUUUCAUGUUCUCUUUCACAAAUGUAUUUUUCAUUUCAAGACAAUCUCUGAGUUUCGAAUCUUCGUUCGGUUCGAUCUCUGAGUUUCGAAUCUUCGUUCGGUUCGAUCGACUCAUCAAAAGGAACCGACUUCAAAGAACGAGUCAUAAUAUAAACAGACGUCCCAAUGCCUCGCUUUAUCACUGAUAUCCUGAAUUUACACUCAGACGAUUGAGUUCUGCCUCACGACGUUCAGUGAUGCACAUUCAUCCGGUCAGUCGUGUGAUGGAGGUCUCAUCUCCAGCAGUCCUCACAAAACACAGUUACAGAAGUUAAGUUGGACUCUACGAAACCAGAUGUUAAACCCAAAGUCCAAGCUUCCUCUGUUGCAACACAAGAACGUCACGAGAAACAAGCUUGUCCCUCUGCCAAUCCAGCAUCCUGUUGUGUGUCAAAUCCAGCACCUAAAACCAGAGAGGACAUGCUUAAAUGUGAGACUGCAUGAUUUUCCACUUCAUUCAUUUUGUUGGCCAUUUUUUGUUCUUUUUUCAUAUUUAACAGUGUGCGUUCCCUUUUAGUCCGCAUCAAGCCCACACUGGAUUACAACAGUGCUUUCCGUCACAUUCGUCUGUCUGAUGGAUAUCGCAAGGUGACUCUCUGUGCAGAGAACCAGCAAUUUGCAACUUUAAAUUAAUGGUUAGGUUUUGACACACAAAAAGCCUUACGGUCAAGGUGCUCCGGAU
rnacentral:lncRNA from 1 species